rnacentral:lncRNA from 1 species
CUCGGCCUCCCAAAGUGCUGGGAUUAUAGAAGUGAGCCACCGCGCCCCGCAAGACUCAGUAUAUAUUUUUGAACAAACAGGUUGAAUAGAUUUUGUUCUUCUGUAAGUAAUUGAGCAAGAGGAAUGCAUUUUUCUCCUCUCUCUCUCUGUCACCUCACCCUAAUGCCAUCUAUGUGGUUACUUUGCACAGGGCGAGAGUCAAAGACCUUCAUCCUCCUUGCUGCUCUUUGUCUUCUCCACCAGGCCUCCUCAGUGGGUCCUUCUGGUGGCCCCGGGCCAGCAAGAGCAGGGACAGAGAGAGGCUUCUGAGCCGACCUGGCCUCGGACGACCUUGGCAUCCCACCUGCAGAGUUCCUGUCAGAGCAGACGUGCUGUCUCGUGACUGGAGGACUAAACCACCCCUGUGUUCAGUCACCUUCCAGGCCUCCUGUCCCACGAAGUCUGCUUCUCACCAGGCUCCACAGGAAAUCUUGUCUUACAGCGCUGGAAAGAAGCUCCAGGAGUGUGCUGGAAAUGCUUCCCUCAGUUCUUCCGGUUAGCUGUGGGGGUAAACAUCUGCCCACGAGAAGACUGGAGAUCUGAAGCCUCCCAGGUUGCCUUAGGUGGGAGAUUAAUCUCCAGGAACAAGACCCCAGUAAAUAACAUGAGGUGGUGGGAUUCAGCUUUGCACCCAGCAUCAACACUCUUACAUCCCCAACAGCACAGAAGAUCACAUUUUCUUAAAAGUUAUACAACCACACACUUGAAGGAAGGAAGCUUGGAACGUGCCACCUGCAUGGCUGGUGUGUGCUGAGAUGGAAUUCUGACUGAAGCUGCAAAGCCUGGGGCCGGUCUGGCUUCUUGCUGGCCUGCCUGGCAUCAGGACUUCUGCUUGGCUGGAGGUGGUCACAGGCAGGGCAGGGAAGAUGGGCUCAGAAGCUUGGGAACCACGUGGUCACAUGUGCCCGCUGGAGGUUUGGAACAUUCCUCUGCAGUGAAGAAGACACUCGUGGCUCUCAGCAGUCUCUCUGCUCUCUCUCUAGGCCAGCAGUUAGAAGGUCUUAGUAUGGUGGGGACAUUGCUUUGAGUUCAUCACAGCACUCAUCCAAGUUCUCCCUGGUCCUCUGUGGGGGACACAUGCUGACGAGGCUACUCAGACUCCUGUUCCCAAAGCUGCCCAACCCGGCCCCCUCAUCAGUCCCCGGCGGACAGGCCUCUGCGGAUUUUACCAGCAGUGAGCACCUGCCCAUAGCUGGCCCAUUCCUCGUCUCUUUCCUGGGAACUCGGUACUGAAAUUCAGAUGCAGAGAGGUCAUGUCUGCUCGUGGUUGACGGAUCCCAAAGAAGGCUACACUCCCUUAUAUGUAAUUCAGAAAUUCAAAAAGCUCUGAAAACUCUAAGUGUUCUCUUCCAUUUGUGGCAAACACAUUUGGCAGCAAAACCAGCCUGGACUGAUGUGAGCUCUAGGUAGUGUCAGUAUCCCCCUUAAUGAGGUCACCUGGUGGACAGACCCACGUGACUGACUAUGGGGUGCUCUCCUGGAGCCCACUAGCAAUACAAAUAUUUGGUUGAUGCACUGUCAUUACCUUUUGAACACAUAAAAUGCUCUGAAGCUUGAACUGUAUGUGGCCCAAAAGGAUCUGGGUAAAGGAUGUGGAUUUACAUAAGAGGUGCCGUGGGCUACCCUACCAGCUUCCACACGGACAAGUUCUGAGAAAGCCAGUCUGCAGUGGGUGCACGGGGUUGUGACUACCAAAUGCAAGCUUCGGAGACCACAGAGCUAAGGUCCUGACAUCUUCAGCUUUGCAACAGCUUCCCUCCUUUUCAUUAAGCGGCCCCAGCUGGCUUGGCGGAGCUGUCGUCAGAGAGUCCUAACCAUCACGCCCCUCAUCCCCACGGAGGCUCAGACCUGGGGGGUUCUGCCGUGCCAGGCAGGAGGCGCUGGGAACGCACAGCCACGUCCAGACGCAGCCUUUGCCAAGCUCUCCGACACUUCAGUGGGCCCAUGGCCUGCUGGCCUGGGCAAGGAGGACUGAACUCUUGAAGGUUUCCACUUCAAUGAGAUUCCAUGAGAAAAGCAGAAAUGGGGUGGGUUUGGCAGUGGGCCAUCUCAAUGGGUUUCUGUCUAAAGGCUUUUCCAUUUAGAAAUAUUUUCUAAGGAGGAUCUUUGUCUUCUUUUGGAGGUGGGAUGGAUUUGUGGUCCUGAAUCCUCCCUUGGAAAAUCUACCUCUGCAAGAAUUCUUUCUUCUUUUUUUUUUUUUUUUUAAAAAAAGGAAGAGGAAAAAAAAGAACAAAAAUACAGCUUCCCUUCUUUUGAACUGUGCGUCACUCGCCAAAGAAUUCCGCAGCGAUAGCACUGCUAUGAAUAGGGCAGUCAUAAUGGGCUUCAGAAGAGCCCGGAGCCCAACCACAGGAAACGUUCCUAUCACGGCUCAGCUAGAACUGUGCCUCUUAUAAAUGGAGUUUUCAGAGGAACACUUAUAAUCCGUAUUCCCCUCCUGCCUUCUAAAUUGGCCAUCUAUUAUUUUGUUUUUACCCUUGAUGAAGUGCUCCUUUUAAAAAUGCUGGCUUCUGUUGGUAUUUGAGAGAAAUGAAACUGCAGAUGCAAGAAGUCAGGGCGAUUCUACCCCAGAGCAGGACGUGUCGAGCUACCUGUGCAAAGCCCCGAGCGUGGGGUCUCUCCUUCAAACGCGAGAUACUUACUGCCUGGUAGCUGUCCUCAUCAAACAGGGCUGCUCUUUUCAGAUCAAAGGCGGUGGCACUCUAGUGACAAUAACUUAGGACUUAGGCAGAGAGAAACAGAAAGGAAGUGGGUGAAAGGUCACAUUCCCAAUCCAAGUGGCCCCCCAGAGAGCCACACCGCAAGGCUUCCUGGGUGGAGGAUCUGGGCAGACUCAAGUCCCAACCACUGUGGUGAUAAGGCAACGAAACAGUCCAGCCAUCCAAAAGCGGUCAGAAGGAAAACAGAAGUUUAAUCUGGACUUGGAGAAAUCUGUGGAAACACAGACAUUUCAGUGGGAUUUCUGUGCUGAAUAAAUAAGACGGGAGCAUUGAAAACUGAAGCAGGCAACCAAGGAAAGAACAACUUGGGGCACAAAGUUGAGUUGAAAUUUGAAGAGCGUGAGUCUGUCCCAGACCUGACCUCUUCUUGCUCCUGCAAAGUGGGAGUGGGCAGUAAAGAGGUCUAAAAGUAUCUUUAUCUGGCAUGCCGGGGAAAGCUGAAGGUUCGGAUUCAAGGCUGCUUCUCAUGAGAACCAAAUGGCAGCUCUCUCGCUUCCAAUUAGGGGUCUGCGUGUGCCUGACACAGCGGGAAGCCUCCUGCCACCUCCUGCAUCCGACUCACAGCCAGGCGGAGGGAGGCAAAGGCCGGUGUGCAACUGCACGGCUCCAGCCGCACACGUUCCUUCUAGGAGGGCAGGUCUCCCCUCUCCCUCAACUGCAGGGAAAAUUCAGGGUGCAAAGGCCGUGUUUCUCUUGAAUUCUGCUGGCGAGCUGAUGGCGCAGCUACAUUACACGGUCCCCAAAGGUGGUGUUCUUUUUAAAAAAGGACAAUGAUGGGGCUCCCCAAUACUUUCAAAUGAGUCCUCAUCUGAGUGGGCUGGUGUUAUCUGCUACAAUUUAGAGCAUCACAUGUUGCUCUACGAGUCAGCUCAAAGAGGAUGGGUCAGGCUGUUAGACUAAAAGCUGCAGAUCUGAGGCUGCUAUUCCAGAGAUGCCCGGGCCCACCUUCACACAGCUACGCACACCUGAACUUGCGACAGCAGAAGGCCAAAUGCAGAUUUCAAAGGCUCUUCCCAUCACAGGGAAGAAACAUAAGACCUGGCAUCAGAACUUCAUUCUUCUGCAAAACACUUUUGAGGCUGUCUAAAAAUCAGGCCCAGUUUCCUGAGUUCUUCUUCAAGCUCCCUCACUCCACACCCAUGAAGUCAUGCGGUCUGUCUUCUUCAAGUGUUGGCAGCCAGGCAAUAGCUGCUUAUUUUCUGUGAGUCAACUGCUCUGGAAGUGAGGUCAGCUCCCGCCCUGGCCUCUUGUCAGCUGCAGGUGCUUAGAGGUGUCCUGUAACCUUAUUCCCUCUCAUCUUCUGCACAGCUUGUUUUGCGUAUUAAAUGAGACGAUGUAUGUAGAGCUAACUUGUGUCUUGUACAUGACAUACCGAUAAACGGGUUCAUAUGUCAUCAUUAUAGCACAAAGUCUUGUUUCCUAAAGAAGAACAGUUUUAGGUAAAAAAAAAAAAAAAAAAAAAAAAAACCCAACAACCCUGAAGCGGGUCCUGGGGUGUCCUCAUCUAUUAAGGACAUUAAUUAAGCAGACAUUACAAAUGUAUACAUGACACACCACCUAGAACUUCAUCAGCUACUGGAAAUGCUUGCAGUGGCCCGAUGGGGCAGAGCCUCUUGAUUCAGGAGAAAGCUCUUGGAAAGAAAAUGGGACCUGUGCUUAUUAUCAUCUUUCCUAAGUUGCAAACUAUUCUCAAAAUGUUCCCCAACAUCCUAGCCAAGGAUUAAGAGCCAAUUCAAAAUAAA